CGGCAACAGCUCAAAUUUGAAAUCUGGUCCCGUUAGGGGCCCGAGUUGUAAUUUGUAGAGGAUGUUUCGGGUACGGUCCGGGCUUAAAUUUCUUGGAACAGAAUGUCAGAGAGGGUGAGAAUCCCGUCUGGAGUCUGCGACACGGCCUAUGUGAAACUCCUUCGAC
rnacentral:rRNA from 1 species